rnacentral:rRNA from 1 species
UGGGGAAUCUUCCGCAAUGGGCGAAAGCCUGACGGAGCAACGCCGCGUGAGUGAAGAAGGCCUUCGGGUCGUAAAGCUCUGUUGUCGGGGACGAAUGUACUCUUUAUCAACAACGAGGAGUAAUGACGGUACCUGACGAGGAAGCCACGGCUAACUACGUGCCAGCAGCCGCGGUAAUACGUAGGUGGCAAGCGUUGUCCGGAAUUAUUGGGCGUAAAGGGCGCGUAGGCGGCGUCGUAAGUCGGUCUUAAAAGUGCGGGGCUUAACCCCGUGAGGGGACCGAAACUGCGAUGCUAGAGUAUCGGAGAGGAAAGCGGAAUUCCUAGUGUAGCGGUGAAAUGCGUAGAUAUUAGGAGGAACACCAGUGGCGAAAGCGGCUUUCUGGACGACAACUGACGCUGAGGCGCGAAAGCCAGGGGAG